UGGGGAAUAUUGGACAAUGGGCGAAAGCCUGAUCCAGCCAUGCCGCGUGUGUGAAGAAGGUCUUCGGAUUGUAAAGCACUUUAAGUUGGGAGGAAGGGCAGUAAGCGAAUACCUUGCUGUUUUGACGUUACCGACAGAAUAAGCACCGGCUAACUCUGUGCCAGCAGCCGCGGUAAUACAGAGGGUGCAAGCGUUAAUCGGAAUUACUGGGCGUAAAGCGCGCGUAGGUGGUUCGUUAAGUUGAAUGUGAAAGCCCCGGGCUCAACCUGGGAACUGCAUCGAAAGAUGGCGAGCGUCAGUAGGUGGUGGCGGGGUGGAAUGUCCGGUGUAGGUGGGAAAUGUGGAGAUAGAGGAAGGAACACCAGUGGGGAAGGCGACCACCUGGGCUCAUACUGACACUGAGGUGCGAAAGCGUGGGGAGCAAACAGG
rnacentral:rRNA from 1 species